rnacentral:rRNA from 1 species
UACGUAGGGGGCUAGCGUUGUCCGGAUUUAUUGGGCGUAAAGAGCUCGUAGGCGGUCUGUCGCGUCCGCUGUGAAAACUCGGGGCUUAACCCCGAGCCUGCAGUGGAUACGGGCAGACUAGAGGUAGGUAGGGGAGAAUGGAAUUCCCGGUGUAGCGGUGAAAUGCGCAGAUAUCGGGAGGAACACCGGUGGCGAAGGCGGUUCUCUGGGCCUUACCUGACGCUGAGGAGCGAAAGCGUGGGGAGCGAACAGG